GGAGGGAUGGCAGAGCGGACGAAUGCGACGGUCUUGAAAACCGUUGAGGUGCAAGCCUCCGGGGGUUCGAAUCCCCCUCCCUCCGCCA
rnacentral:tRNA from 2 species